CUCAGACAGGCAACCGGGAAGUUUCUUUUCUCCAGGAACCACCCCUGUGACAUAUUUAUUCACAGAUCUUUCCGGAAAUUCAGUCACUCGAACAUUAAAUGUGAAGGUGAAUGUGCUAGAUAAUUCUUUUCCAACAGCAGACAGAACUGAUCCUUUUGUCACUAGCUUCCCUGAAGACAUCAGUGUGACUGUUCCCUUUGGCACUCCAAACACAACAGUGACCUGGGCUGAGCCAACAACAAAUGACAAUUUGGGAACUGUCAUCUCAAGCAAGACAAUAGAAUCUGGAAGCCCCUUCCCAACUGGACAGACAACAGCAGUGACUUACACCUUCACUAAUUCUACAGGAAAAUCAGUCACGAAAACCUUCCAAGUUACGGUGGUUGAACUGAGUUGUAGUUCCCGAGUCAAGCGACUGACUGAGCUCUCUUCUCUAAAGAAAAACCCCAAUGUGCAAUUCAGGCCAUACAAGGAGCCCGAGCUUCUACCAGAUGAGCAGACUGCUCUUGCAGAGCUUUCCUUUUGUGGACUGAAAUUGUCAAGUCCUGAAGCGGUACUCUAUGAGAAACGACAGUUGUACACACAA